rnacentral:rRNA from 1 species
UACGAAGGGGGCUAGCGUUGUUCGGAAUCACUGGGCGUAAAGGGCGCGUAGGCGGCUUGAUGAAGUCGGGGGUGAAAGCCUGUGGCUCAACCACAGAAUUGCCUUCGAUACUGUCGAGCUUGAGACCGGAAGAGGUAAGUGGAACUGACGAGUGUAGAGGUGAAAUUCGUAGAUAUUCGCAAGAACACCAGUGGCGAAGGCGGCUUACUGGUCCGGUUCUGACGCUGAGGGCGCG